rnacentral:rRNA from 1 species
UACGGAGGAGGCCAGCGUUAUCCGGAAUUAUUGGGCGUAAAGCGACCGUAGGCGGUUCACCAAGUCUGCUGUCAAAGGGUGGGGCUUAACCUCAUAAAGGCAGUGGAAACUGGUGAGCUAGAGUGCGGUAGGGGUAAGGGGAAUUCCCAGUGUAGCGGUGAAAUGCGUAGAGAUUGGGAAGAACAUCGGUGGCGAAAGCGCCGUACUGGGCCUGCACUGACACUGAGGGACGACAGCUAGGGGAGCGAAAGGG